CCUACGGGAGGCAGCAGUGGGGAAUAUUGGACAAUGGGCGCAAGCCUGAUCCAGCCAUACCGCGUGUGUGAAGAAGGCUUUCGGGUUGUAAAGCACUUUAAGUAAGGAGGAAAAGAUUGUAGUUAAUACCUGCAGUCCGUGACGUUACUUACAGAAUAAGGACCGGCUAAUUCCGUGCCAGCAGCCGCGGUAAUACGGAAGGUCCAAGCGUUAAUCGGAAUUACUGGGCGUAAAGCGCGCGUAGGUGGUUUUUUAAGUUGGAUGUGAAAGCCCUGGGCUCAACCUAGGAACUGCAUCCAAAACUAGAUGACUAGAGUACGAAAGAGGGAAGUAGAAUUCACAGUGUAGCGGUGGAAUGCGUAGAUAUUGUGAAGAAUACCAAUGGCGAAGGCAGCUUCCUGGUUCUGUACUGACACUGAGGUGCGAAAGCGUGGGUAGCGAACAGGAUUAGAUACCCUGGUAGUCCACGCCGUAAACGAUGACAACUAGCUGUUGGGAGAC
rnacentral:rRNA from 1 species